rnacentral:rRNA from 1 species
CCUACGGGAGGCAGCAGUGAGGAAUAUUGGUCAAUGGGCGCGAGCCUGAACCAGCCAAGUAGCGUGAAGGAUGACUGCCCUACGGGUUGUAAACUUCUUUUAUAAAGGAAUAAAGUGAGGCACGUGUGCCUGUUUGUAUGUACUUUAUGAAUAAGGAUCGGCUAACUCCGUGCCAGCAGCCGCGGUAAUACGGAGGAUCCGAGCGUUAUCCGGAUUUAUUGGGUUUAAAGGGAGCGUAGAUGGGUUGUUAAGUUAGUGGUGAAAGCUUGCGGCUCAACCGUAAAAUUGCAAUUGAUACUGGCAGGCUUGAGUAUAGUUGAGGUAGGCGGAAUUCGUGGUGUAGCGGUGAAAUGCAUAGAGAUCACGAAGAACUCCGAUUGCGAAGGCAGCUUACUAAACUGCCACUGACAUUGAUGCUCGAAAGUGUGGGUAUCAAACAGGAUUAGAUACCCUAGUAGUC